rnacentral:lncRNA from 1 species
UCGAUCUCGCGCGAUUCGGUACAUAAAAUAUUACAACUUUUGCGAAUUUCCCGAUUUUCCACUCUCGACCCCUUAGCGAACUUCAUGCAAUAUCCGACAAUCCGUUCAUCAGAUUUCCGAACCGAUUGCACCAUCGCGUUCAGCACGACGAGGGCAUCAAAACUACCAUCUUAUUUCGUCUGAUUUGGUCUCCGAUCAGCGACGAAACCUGCCCUCUCUAUUUCCACCCAUAAAUCACUUAUAUUAUUACAUGUAAUUUCCAUUAAACCUCUUUUUUCUCGACAAC